AUUGAACGCUGGCGGCAUGCCUUACACAUGCAAGUCGGACGGCAGCACGGGGCAACCUGGUGGCGAGUGGCGAACGGGUGAGUAAUGCAUCGGAACGUACCUUUCAGUGGGGGAUAACGUAGCGAAAGUUACGCUAAUACCGCAUAUUCUGUGAGCAGGAAAGCAGGGGAUCGCAAGACCUUGCGCUGAUUGAGCGGCCGAUGUCAGAUUAGCUAGUUGGUGAGGUAAAGGCUCACCAAGGCGACGAUCUGUAGCGGGUCUGAGAGGAUGAUCCGGCACACUGGAACUGAGACACGGCCCAGACUCCUACGGGAGGCAGCAGUGGGGAAUUUUGGACAAUGGGGGCAACCCUGAUCCAGCCAUGCCGCGUGAGUGAAGAAGGCCUUCGGGUUGUAAAGCUCUUUCGGCCGGGAAGAAAUCGCACGGGCUAAUACCCUGUGUGGAUGACGGUACCGGAAUAAGAAGCACCGGCUAACUACGUGCCAGCAGCCGCGGUAACAC
rnacentral:rRNA from 1 species